rnacentral:pre_miRNA from 1 species
GACUUCGUCAAAAUGGUUGUGACGUGUGACCGAUUUUUCCCCGCUCUGUCCCUCUCUCUCCCCCCUUGUCCCUAGGGAUGAGGGGGGGAGGAUGGGCGAGCACUUCAUAUCACAGCCACUUUUGACGAGUCUCG